CGCUGGCGGCGUGCUUAAUACAUGCAAGUCAACUGAACUUUAGGUAGCAAUAUUUAAAGGGAGGUGGCGCACGGGUGAGUAACACGUAGGUAAUCUGCCUUCAGGACUGACAUAACUCCGCGAAAGCGGGACUAAAAUCAGAUGAUGCAGCGGCUCGACAUCGAGACAGUUGUUAAACCUUCGGGGCCUGAAGAUGAGCCUGCGUCUGAUUAGGUAGUUGGAGGGGUAAUGGCCCACCAAGCCUGCGAUCAGUAGCUGGUCUGAGAGGAUGAUCAGCAACACUGGGACUGAGACACGGCCCAGACUCCUACGGGAGGCAGCAGUGGGGAAUCUUAGACAAUGGGCGCAAGCCUGAUCUAGCCAUGCCGCGUGGACGAUGAAGGCCUUAGGGUUGUAAAGUCCUUUCAGCUGGGAAGAUAAUGACGGUACCAGAGGAAUAAGCACCGGCUAACUCCGUG
rnacentral:rRNA from 1 species